UACGAAGGGGGCUAGCAUUGCUCGGAAUUACUGGGCGUAAAGGGAGCGUAGGCGGAUAGUUUAGUCAGAGGUGAAAGCCCAGGGCUCAACCUUGGAAUUGCCUUUGAUACUGGCGAUCUUGAGUCCGGGAGAGGUGAGUGGAACUGCGAGUGUAGAGGUGAAAUUCGUAGAUAUUCGCAAGAACACCAGUGGCGAAGGCGGCUCACUGGCCCGGUACUGACGCUGAGGUGCGAAAGCGUGGGGAGCAAACAGG
rnacentral:rRNA from 1 species